rnacentral:RNase_P_RNA from 1 species
CAAGUAGAUCGCCUUAUCGCUCGAAUGCUGAACUUGUUUCAGUUAAACAUAUAGUUUAUUUAAAAGGUACUGAAACAAGUUCAGCACUUGAGAGGAAAGUCCGAACACCAUAGUGCAACAUAGUGGUUAACAACCACCAGUCGUGAGGCUAGGAAAAGUGCAACAGAAAGUAUGUACAGGUCAAGCUGUAGUGAAACCAGGUAAACUCUAUGUGGUGCAAUGUCAUGUAAACCAGUGUCCCGAUAACUAUCGGGAGAGAGCGGCACGUUCGAUGCUGGAGGGUAGGCAGCUAAAGUAUAUUGGUAACAAUAUACUCAGAUAAAUGAUAAGGGCUUUUUAUACUUAUUUUAGGUUAUCCUGAAACAAGUUCAAGAAGUACAGAAUUCGGCUUAUAGAUUUACUUGAAUA